AACGAACGCUGGCGGCAGGCCUAACACAUGCAAGUCGAACGCCGUAGCAAUACGGAGUGGCAGACGGGUGAGUAACGCGUGGGAACCUUCCCUAUGGUUCGGAAUAGCUCAGGGAAACCUGGGGUAAUACCGGAUAAGCCCUUCGGGGGAAAGAUUUAUCGCCAUUGGAUGGGCCCGCGUCGGAUUAGCUAGUUGGUGGGGUAACGGCCCACCAAGGCGACGAUCCGUAGCUGGUCUGAGAGGAUGAUCAGCCACAUUGGGACUGAGACACGGCCCAAACUCCUACGGGAGGCAGCAGUGGGGAAUAUUGGACAAUGGGCGCAAGCCUGAUCCAGCCAUGCCGCGUGAGUGAUGAAGGCCCUAGGGUUGUAAAGCUCUUUUGUGCGGGAAGAUAAUGACGGUACCGCAAGAAUAAGCCCCGGCUAACUUCGUGCCAGCCGCCGCCGUAAAAC
rnacentral:rRNA from 1 species